AUCACUUCUCAGCCUUUUGGCUAAGAUCAAGUAUAGUAUCUGUUCUUAUCAGUUUAACAUCUGAUACAUUCUCUAUCCAAGGAAAAUAUAUUAAAUGAAUUUUUGGAGCAGGAAGUUGGAAUAGGAGCUUGCUUGCUCCGUCCACUCCACGCAUCGACUUGGUAUUGCAGUACUUCCAGGAACAGUGCACCCACC
rnacentral:snRNA from 1 species